AGCGAACGCUGGCGGCAGGCUUAACACAUGCAAGUCGAGCGGGCACUUUCGGGUGUCAGCGGCGGACGGGUGGGUAACGCGUGGGAACGUGCCCUCUGGUUCGGAAUAACUCAGGGAAACUUGAGCUAAUACCGGAUACGCCCUUUUGGGGAAAGGUUUGCUGCCGGAGGAUCGGCCCGCGUCUGAUUAGCUAGUUGGUGCGUUAACGGCUUACCAAGGCGGGGAUGGGAAGCUGGUCUGAGAGGGUGAUCCGCCACACUGGGACUGAGACAGGCCCCAGACUCCUGGGGGAAGAAGCAGUAGGGACUCCUCCGGAAGGGGCGAGAGGGUAAUGGAGCAAAGCGGCGGGAGUGAUGAAGGACCUCGGACCGGAAAGUUAUGAUAGCAUGGGAGUACAAAUGUGUUUGUAACCGUGCACGUAUUGACGGUACCUAAUCAGAAAGCCCCGGCUAACUACGUG
rnacentral:rRNA from 1 species